UUUCCCUCAGUGGGUUUAUCCCCAAUAGAGUGGCUGACAGUAUUCCCAGUAGAGUUGCUUGUGCAGCUGGAUUCUACUUGUGUGUUCUGUUCUCUUCAGCAGUGAACUCUUGUUUCCCAGUUGACACUGAGGAUCUCCCUACAGAAAUCUCGGGAUUUCUCUAUUUCCCCAACAGAUUUGCUUUGUGGCAGUUUCUGCUUGUUGUGAACUUCUGUUCCCUAGUUGGGUUGAUUGUUGAUCCAUCACUCAGAGAUUUUGUGAUUUCUUUGAUAUCUCUG
rnacentral:lncRNA from 1 species